rnacentral:rRNA from 1 species
AGAACGAACGCUGGCGGCAUGCCUAACACAUGCAAGUCGAACGCUUGCCGGGCUUCGGUUCGGCAGGAGUGGCGCACGGGUGAGUAGCGCGUGGGAACCUGCCCUGUUGUGGGGGAUAACCGAGGGAAACUUCGGCUAAUACCGCAUACGCCGGGAAACCGGGAAAGAUUUAUCGCAGCAGGAGGGGCCCGCGUCGGAUUAGCUAGUUGGUGGGGUAACGGCCCACCAAGGCACCGAUCCGUAGCUGGUCUGAGAGGAUGAUCAGCCACACUGGGACUGAGACACGGCCCAGACUCCUACGGGAGGCAGCAGUGGGGAAUAUUGGACAAUGGGCGCAAGCCUGAUCCAGCAAUGCCGCGUGAGUGAUGAAGGCCUUAGGGUUGUAAAGCUCUUUCGCCCGCGACGAUAAUGACGGUAGCGGGAGAAGAAGCCCGGCUAACUUCGCGCCAGCAGCCGC